rnacentral:rRNA from 1 species
CUACGGGAGGCUGCAGUGGGGAAUAUUGGACAAUGGGGGAAACCCUGAUCCAGCAAUGCCGCGUGUGUGAAGAAGGCCUGCGGGUUGUAAAGCACUUUCGGUUGGGAGGACUGCUUCUAGCACUAAUAUUGUUGGAAGUUGACGUUACCUUCAGAAGAAGCACCGGCUAACUCCGUGCCAGCAGCCGCGGUAAUACGGAGGGUGCAUGCGUUAAUCGGAAUUACUGGGCGUAAAGCGCGCGUAGGCGGCUAGAUCAGUCGGGUGUGAAAGCCGCGGGCUUAACCUGGGAACUGCAUCCGAUACUGUCUAGCUUGAGUACAGGAGAGGAGAGUGGAAUUCCACAUGUAGCGGUGAAAUGCGUAGAUAUGUGGAGGAACACCAAUGGCGAAGGCAGCUCUCUGGCCUGAUACUGACGCUGAGGUGCGAAAGCGUGGGGAGCAAACAGGAUUAGAUACCCGCGUAGUC